UGAGUGCAUGUCUGUGUUUGUGUGUGCGCGCCGGUGUAAAUCUGGCAGCGCGCAGUGGUUGCAUUUCCUCGGGAAAAAGCGUGUUUUGCUCUCUGCCCGUCUUCUUCUCGGCGCUCUCAUCCAGGCAGCGCUAAAGAGAAGCAGUUUAAAAACAACAACAACUCAUUUUUGGAAUAAGAAACGCAUUGCUGUUUUCUGACUUGGAUGAAAGGGACUCCUCUCGAAUUUCCUUAGGAAUUAAAUCUUAAAGCCCUGUUACCGAGUGCUUUACCGUUCAACCGCCACGGCGUGUAUAAUGUGAGCGACUUUCGCACACUAGGUAAG